GACGAACGCUGGCGGCGUGCUUAACACAUGCAAGUCGAGCGGUAAGGCUCCUUCGGGAGUACACGAGCGGCAAACGGGUGAGUAACACGUGAGUAAUCUGCCCUUCACUUCGGGAUAACCACCGGAAACGGUGGCUAAUACCGAAUACGACCAGUCUUCGCAUGAGGUGCUGGUGGAAAGUCUUUUCGGUGAAGGAUGUGCUCGCGGCCUAUCAGCUUGUUGGUGGGGUAAUGGCCUACCAAGGCUUCGACGGGUAGCCGGCCUGAGAGGGUGACCGGCCACACUGGGACUGAGACACGGCCCAGACUCCUACGGGAGGCAGCAGUGGGGAAUAUUGGACAAUGGGCGAAAGCCUGAUCCAGCAACGCCGCGUGAGGGAUGACGGCCUUCGGGUUGUAAACCUCUUUCAGUACCGACGAAGCGCCCUGUCGGGUGGUGACGGUAGGUACAGAAGAAGGACCGGCCAACUACGUG
rnacentral:rRNA from 1 species